GAGAAAGAAGGAAGAUAAUAAGUUCUGCUAAUACUUAGAACCGUGGUUAAACUCCACGGCUUCUCA
rnacentral:tRNA from 1 species